AGAGUUUGAUCCUGGCUCAGAACGAACGCUGGCGGCGCGUUUUAAGCAUGCAAGUCGUACGGUACGAUACCUUCGGGUAUCCGAGAGUGGCGAACGGGUGAGUAACACGUAGGUGAUGUGCCUAGAAGUUGGGGAUAGCUCAUGGAAACAUGGGGUAAUACCGAAUAAUUUGCUAGCUCUUGUGCUAGUAGGAAAGAGGCGUUUGCCUCGCUUUUAGAUCAGCCUGCGGCUUAUUAGCUAGUUGGUGAGGUAAUGGCUCACCAAGGCAACGAUAAGUAGCCGGCCUGAGAGGGUGAACGGCCACAUUGGGACUGAGACACGGCCCAGACUCCUACGGGAGGCAGCAGCUAAGAAUCUUCCGCAAUGGGCGCAAGCCUGACGGAGCGACGCCGCGUGCAUGAUGAAGGCAGAGAUGUUGUAAAGUGCUUUUAUGGGUGAGGAAUAACAGAAGCAGGAAAUGGCUUUUGGAUGACGUGAACCCAUGAAUAAGCUCCGGCUAAUUACGUGCCAGCAGCCGCGGUAAUACGUAAGGAGCGAGCGUUGUUCGGAAUUAUUGGGCGUAAAGUGCGUGCAGGCUGUUUAUUAAGUCUGAUGUGAAAGUGCACAGCUUAACUGUGUUAUUGCGUUGGAAACUGGUAAACUAGAAUUCGAGAGAGGAAAUUGGAAUUCCUGGUGUAGGGGUAAAAUCUGUUGAUAUUAGGAAGAACACCUGAGGCGAAAGCGAAUUUCUGGCUCUGAAUUGACGCUGAAGCGCGAAAGCGUAGGGAGCAAACAGGAUUAGAUACCCUGGUAGUCCACGCCCUAAACGAUGUCAACUGGUUGUUGGUCCUUCACUGGAUCAGUAACGUAGCUAACCCGUGAAGUUGAU
rnacentral:rRNA from 1 species